rnacentral:lncRNA from 1 species
AAUGUGAUGCACCAGUAUCAAACAAAAUAUGAGCAAUGUGGCCAGAGAUAGUAUACAUACCAUGUACCACGUCCGGGUCUGCGUCGGCAUCCUUCUGGGUAAGAUUGUAAACUCUGCCCUGGAUUGGAGGCCUCCCUUGAUUCUGGUUUCUAGGGCACUCCCUCGCAUAGUGCUGGGCACUGCCGCAUAUGCAACAGGUGUUGUUGAGGCGGUAGCAGGGUCGGUCCCCAUGAUCCCUACCGCAGUACUGGCAGAUCUUCCCACGUGCUGCCCCCAUAGCAUGAGGAGGGGCCUGAACGGCAGGCCUGGGCCUCUUACUGGGUUGGACAGGCAUGGUAGGCGCUGGCC